GACGAACGCUGGCGGCGUGCUUAACACAUGCAAGUCGAACGGAAAGGCCCUGCUUUUGUGGGGUGCUCGAGUGGCGAACGGGUGAGUAACACGUGAGUAACCUGCCCUUGACUUUGGGAUAACUUCAGGAAACUGGGGCUAAUACCGGAUAGGAGCUCCUGCUGCAUGGUGGGGGUGGGAAAGUUUCGGCGGUUGGGGAUGGACUCGCGGCUUAUCAGCUUGUUGGUGGGGUAGUGGCUUACCAAGGCUUUGACGGGUAGCCGGCCUGAGAGGGUGACCGGCCACAUUGGGACUGAGAUACGGCCCAGACUCCUACGGGAGGCAGCAGUGGGGAAUAUUGCACAAAGGGCGGAAGCCUGAUGCAGCAACGCCGCGUGCGGGAUGACGGCCUUCGGGUUGUAAACCGCUUUCGCCUGUGACGAAGCGUGAGUGACGGUAAUGGGUAAAGAAGCACCGGCUAACUACGUG
rnacentral:rRNA from 1 species